UUAGAAGGCUGGUGGAUGCAUUUUCUAACCCAUUAACAGAGGUGUACCUCCUCUUCUACCAAGCAACAUUUCCAGCCUUCUCCACCUUAAACCUCCUACUCCAGAGAGAGAAGUCCUCAAUCUUCCUUCUACAUGAAGAGAUGACAAAGUUCAUCCGCAAGUUGUGUGCAAAGUUUCUGAAGCUUGCAGCACUGCAGAACCAAGGAGUUCAUGACAUCCAAUACAAGGACCCAUCAAACCAACUGCCAGGAGAAAAGCUGAACAUUGGCUUCAUUACUCGAGCUACGCUCAACAGGCU